rnacentral:rRNA from 1 species
GGCAGAGGCUACUGCUAUUGGGGUUCGAUUAAGCCAUGCAAGUUGAACGAUUCUUCGGAAUCGUGGCGAACGGCUCAGUAACACGUGGAUAACCUACCCUUAGGACCGGUAUAACCCUGGGAAACUGGGGACAAUCCCGGAUAGGUGAUUUUUUCUGUAAUGAUUUUUCAUUUAAAUGCUCCGGCGCCUGAGGAUGGGUCUGCGGCAGAUUAGGUAGUUGGUAGGGUAAUGGCCUACCAAGCCGGUGAUCUGUACGGGUUGUGAGAGCAAGAGCCCGGAGAUGGAACCUGAGACAAGGUUCCAGGCCCUACGGGGCGCAGCAGGCGCGAAACCUCCGCAAUGCGAGAAAUCGCGACGGGGGGGGACCCCAAGUGCCACUCUUAACGGGGUGGCUUUUCUUGAGUGUAAAAAGCUUUUGGAAUAAGGGCUGGGCAAGACCGGUGCCAGCCGCCGCGGUAACACCGGCAGCUCUAGUGGUAGCCAUUUUUAUUGGGCCUAAAGCGUUCGUAGCCGGUUUGAUAAGUCUCUGGUGAAAUCCUGUAGCUUAACUGUGGGAAUUGCUGGAGAUACUAUUAGACUUGAGGUCGGGAGAGGUUAGCGGUACUCCCAGGGUAGGGGUGAAAUCCUGUAAUCCUGGGAGGACCACCUGUGGCGAAGGCGGCUAACUGGAACGAACCUGACGGUGAGGGACGAAAGCCAGGGGCGCGAACCGGUUUAGAUACCCGGGUAGUCCUGGCCGUAAACGAUGUGGACUUGGAGGGGGAUGGCUUCGAGCUGUUUCAGUGCCGAAGGGAAGCUGUUAAUCCCACCGCCUGGGAAGGAACG